rnacentral:lncRNA from 1 species
AUGUUGUAUGGGAAUGCCCUCUCCUGUGCAUUACAGGAACAGAGAAUUCGCAACAAAAGGCUGAAGGAUGCGCACAGGAAACUUCUCCGAAAAAGGACCAAGACUGUUUCUGUGGCCAAGUAUAAUGAAGUCCUAAUACAGACGAAGAAGAAGGACAAUGUGAUAUCACAACUUCAACAUGAAAUCCUGCUUCUUCAGGAAAGAGUUGAAGACUUGACUUCAACCACGGAACAUCCUGAGGAGCAAGAAGUUAAUGGAAAGAUGUACUCAUCAGCCAUGAGAUUGAAAGUAUAUGACUGUAUAAGUAGUAAACUGUCAACAGCAAGUAUACCAGUAAUCUUACAGAGAAUAGCGAAGCAUGAUGGAAUUGAGCUCAAAACUGUACCCCAAAGGAGCACUGUUGAGUUGAUGGCCCAGGAAUUAGGAGUGAUUUCUCAACUGCAGACGGCUGAAAUGAUAUUGGCUAAUAAUAAUGUGACUUUGGGAUUUGAUGCAACUACCCAGGAAGGUACCCAUGUCAACGAAAUCCAUUUUAGUACCGAACAUGACAGCAUGUCAGCUGCAGUGGAUGAGUUGGCAGGAGGAACAGCAGAAGACUACUGCAAUCAUAUCUGCCAAACUGUAGAUGACUUGGCCCACACUUAUGUUUUCUUUACUGAAGGGACAAACUUCGAGGAAACUAGGGCAAAAUUGAUUGAGAAGAUAUCGAAUACGAUGACUGACCGAUGUGCGACCAAUCACGCGGCCGUCCGUCUCGUAAGUAGCGAGUGGGGGAAAACGCUGAACGAGAUGAACUGCCACUUGCACCCCCUGGAUUCGAUUGCGACAGCAUGUAGGUCUGCAUUGAAGAAAGUUGAAGAACUGAGGGGAAUGUUUAUGGCGGGGACUGUAUGGCAGCAAAUGUCAUACUGUCCUUUAGCAAACUUCGUUACAAGGACGGAAAGGGAGACCCCCGUGGUUUUGCGACUUUUUUGGAUCAGAAGAAACUCCCGAGGGGCAUUCUACCUCGUUACAGGGGCAAUCGAUUUCACGUGUUAUUUCACAGUGCUGGUGUACUUAUUGAGCACUAUGAGGUAUUUUCGGAGUUGUUGA